GCCUGAGUGGCUCAGUAGGUUAAGCGUCUGACUCUUGAUUUCUGCUCAGGUCAUGAUCUCAAGGGUUGUGAGAUCGAGCCCCGCCUCAGGCU
rnacentral:tRNA from 1 species